GCUAGCGUAGCUUAAUAUAAAGCAUAGCACUGAAGAUGCUAAGAUGAGACUAGAAACUCCGCGUGCA
rnacentral:tRNA from 1 species